CACGUAGGGCGCAAGCGUUGUCCGGAAUUAUUGGGCGUAAAGAGCUUGUAGGCGGUUUGUCGCGUCUGCUGUGAAAUUUCGGGGCUCAACCCCGAACUUGCAGUGGGUACGGGCAGACUAGAGUGUGGUAGGGGAGACUGGAAUUCCUGGUGUAGCGGUGAAAUGCGCAGAUAUCGGGAGGAACACCAGUGGCGAAGGCGGCCUUCUGGGCCUGUCCUGACGCUGAGGCGCGAAAGCGUGGGGAGCGAACCGG
rnacentral:rRNA from 1 species